rnacentral:rRNA from 1 species
GACGAACGCUGGCGGCGUGCUUAACACAUGCAAGUCGAACGCUGAAGCCCUUUCGGGGGUGGAUGAGUGGCGAACGGGUGAGUAACACGUGGGUAAUCUGCCCUGUACUUCGGGAUAAGCCUUGGAAACGGGGUCUAAUACCGGAUAGGACCUGUCCUCGCAUGGGGGUGGGUGGAAAGUUCCGGCGGUAUGGGAUGAGCCCGCGGCCUAUCAGCUUGUUGGUGGGGUAGUGGCCUACCAAGGCGACGACGGGUAGCCGGCCCGAGAGGGUGACCGGUCACACUGGGACUGAGACACGGCCCAGACUCCUACGGGAGGCAGCAGUGGGGAAUCUUGCGCAAUGGGCGAAAGCCUGACGCAGCAACGCCGCGUGGGGGAUGACGGCCUUCGGGUUGUAAACCUCUUUCGACAUCGACGAAGGGGCGCUGUUGUGGGGUUUUGACGGUAGGUGUAGAAGAAGCACCGGCUAACUACGUGCCAGCAGCCGCUGUAA